AUCGAUUGGAAACUGUCUAAAAAACUCACAUUGCAGCCACUCAGGGUUUGGUUUACUGGUUGGCAAUGACUCGAGAUGGAUGUCCUCUUCACUUCGAAAACUGCCUCCACAACACAUCAUCGGAAUUGCUCGACACCAUUAUCUGUGGAAUCCGAAAAGGAGGCUCUUGUGUGGCCGUGGCGAACCGAGACUACUCAAUUAAAAAAUACAUCGGCACGAGUCUGAUAGUGAAAUCCACCGCUUGUUCCUCCAAACUGCUGCUGGGCUGCGAAGGAUCGGCACAGACCUUCGAAAUCAGGGUGGACACAAACAAUUGCGAUCUGCCAGAGUGCACAGAGCUACCCAAUUGCGUAAUGAAAGAUGAAUUGUCCAUCGCCCAAAGAUCCUUGGUUGCACCCUGGCGUCACGGGAAUUGGCAUUCAUGUUGCGACAACAACAUCCUCGAGCUGCAUAAUGAAUAUG